AAAUUGAAGAGUUUGAUCAUGGCUCAGAUUGAACGCUGGCGGCAGGCCUAACACAUGCAAGUCGAACGGUAACAGGAGGAAGCUUGCUUCUUUGCUGACGAGUGGCGGACGGGUGAGUAAUGUCUGGGAAACUGCCUGAUGGAGGGGGAUAACUACUGGAAACGGUAGCUAAUACCGCAUAACGUCGCAAGACCAAAGAGGGGGACCUUCGGGCCUCUUGCCAUCGGAUGUGCCCAGAUGGGAUUAGCUAGUAGGUGGGGUAACGGCUCACC
rnacentral:rRNA from 1 species